UGGUGGACGGGUGAGUAAUGUCUGGGAAACUGCCCGAUGGAGGGGGAUAACUACUGGAAACGGUAGCUAAUACCGCAUAACGUCGCAAGACCAAAGAGGGGGACCUUCGGGCCUCUUGCCAUCGGAUGUGCCCAGAUGGGAUUAGCUAGUAGGUGGGGUAACGGCUCACCUAGGCGACGAUCCCUAGCUGGUCUGAGAGGAUGACCAGCCACACUGGAACUGAGACACGGUCCAG
rnacentral:rRNA from 1 species